rnacentral:misc_RNA from 1 species
AAGCGUCUUCGACGCCCUCACGGCCGAAAUUCGGAGCCUCGUCGGCGUCAGGGAAGCUGCUGAGGACGCGUUCAAACGGUGAAGAGACACGCACGGCCCCUUCCACAAAAGGCGAAAGGGACAACAACAAAAAAAGGCAACGGCACGACGUGGGGUCUCUUCUUCUCGCCAUCCGCCCCACCCCACCCACCCACCCACACACACGCACACGUUGGUAUCAUCACAAGUCGCUAGGAGACUGUGUGAGCGAGGCCCCACCGCCGCGAGGACAAGCCUUCUUUUUUUCAUGAUUUUGUAUGUACCGCUUCGUUGUUUGCCUGGCUUCCCUCCGCGUGCGGGGCCCCUCUUCAGCGCCUGCGUUUGCUUCGCCCUUCGAUCUUCUUCUCUCUGUCCCUCCUGCUCCACUUCUGUCUCGCUGCUCAUCCUUUGCCCUUAUGCUCAGUUCUGAAGAAUAACCUCUCUCCCCGUACGUUCCCUGCCCCUACCCCCACCCCUCUACCUCUUCCCUCUGCUUGCUCGCACCCCGCACCCGUACGCAUACACGGGAGAAG